rnacentral:rRNA from 1 species
AUACGUAGGGUGCAAGCGUUAUCCGGAAUUAUUGGGCGUAAAGGGCUCGUAGGCGGUUCGUCGCGCCCGGUGUGAAAGUCCAUCGCUUAACGGUGGAUCCGCGCCGGGUACGGGCGGGCUUGAGUGCGGUAGGGGAGACUGGAAUUCCCGGUGUAACGGUGGAAUGUGUAGAUAUCGGGAAGAACACCAAUGGCGAAGGCAGGUCUCUGGGCCGUUACUGACGCUGAGGAGCGAAAGCGUGGGGAGCGAACAGGAUUAGAUACCCUGGUAGUCCACGCCGUAAACGGUGGAUGCUGGAUGUGGGGCCCGUUCCACGGGUUCCGUGUCGGAGCUAACGCGUUAAGCAUCCCGCCUGGGGAGUACGGCCGCAAGGCUAAAACUCAAAGAAAUUGACGGGGGCCCGCACAAGCGGCGGAGCAUGCGGAUUAAUCCGAUGCAACGCGAAGAACCUUACCUGGGCUUGACAUGUUCCCGACGAUCCCAGAGAUGGGGUUUCCCUUCGGGGCGGGUUCACAGGUGGUGCAUGGUCGUCGUCAGCUCGUGUCGUGAGAUGUUGGGUUAAGUCCCGCAACGAGCGCAACCCUCGCCCCGUGUUGCCAGCGGAUUGUGCCGGGAACUCACGGGGGACCGCCGGGGUUAACUCGGAGGAAGGUGGGGAUGACGUCAGAUCAUCAUGCCCCUUACGUCCAGGGCUUCACGCAUGCUACAAUGGCCGGUACAACGGGAUGCGACAGCGCGAGCUGGAGCGGAUCCCUGAAAACCGGUCUCAGUUCGGAUCGCAGUCUGCAACUCGACUGCGUGAAGGCGGAGUCGCUAGUAAUCGCGAAUCAGCAACGUCGCGGUGAAUGCGUUCCCGGGCCUUGUACACACCGCCCGUCAAGUCAUGAAAGUGGGCAGCACCCGAAGCCGGUGGCCUAACCCCUUGCGGGAGGGAGCCGUCUAAGGUGAGGCUCGUGAUUGGGACU